GAAAUGCGAUAAGUAAUGUGAAUUGCAGAAUUCAGUGAAUCAUCGAAUCUUUGAACGCACGUUGCGCCCGCCAGCACUCUGGCGGGCAUGCCUGUUCGAGCGUCAUUUCAACCCUCAGAACCCCUUGCGGGAUCUGGCGUUGGGGAUUGGCAUCCAGCCAGCCCCGAAAUCUAGUGGCGGUCCCUCCGCGACCUCCCCUGUGCAGUAGCGAUACCUCGCAGCGGGACAGCGGUCUGACCACGCCGUAAAACCCCCAACUUCUCAAGGUUGACCUCGAAUCAGGUAGGAAUACCCGCUGAACUUAAGC
rnacentral:misc_RNA from 1 species